CUGGAUGGCUAUUCCAGGUAUCUACUACCCUUUCUAUAUCACUGUUACUGCUCCCACUGGAAGGCCAUUCCAUGUAUCUACUACCCUUUCUAUAUCACUGUUACUGCUCCCACUGGAAGGCUAUUCCAGGUAUCUACUACCCUUUCUAUAUCGCUGUUACUGCUCCCACUGGAAGGCUAUUCCAGGUAUCUACUACCCUUUCUAUAUCACUGUUA